rnacentral:lncRNA from 1 species
AGACAAAGCUAAUCUACUAACAGUGUCAUCAUGUGGGGGAGGGUGUGAUACCUAAAUCACUCUCUCCUUUUAGCUCCCCCAUUCUAUACCAAAAUAUUUGCCAUUUGGUUACAAAUGGGAGGACAAACUGCCUGGGCAGAGUUCCCCACCUAGGCUGAUAAAAUGGCUUUGAAGCGGCAGGCUUUGAGGAGCAGUGGUGGAAAAUGUGAAAAAUCAGCACAAAGUCUUCUGACUGUGGGAGAGAGUGUAAAGGAUUCCUCAUAGUAAGAAAGAGAACACUGUGAGAGCUGAGCAGAGAACAACUCUGCAGGGAGACCAUGGGCAGGAAGAGAACUGUACAUGCUGCCCCUGAGCCUCUUCUUUGAGGCCCGACCUCAUCCUUGGGAGCCCCUCUACUGGUGUAUCAGAUAAUGCAGGAGUGCCUGGGAACAUAGUAUCUCCUUCCUCUCCUGGAUCUAGAGACCCAAGAUAAGGAGUCAGGUUGGAAGAACGGCAGCUACAGAACCCACCCUAAAUGAUGUAAGUAUUCACCUAAUACCUGCCUCUCAGUGCCAUCCAUAAUCUUAUCCUGGAGUGGGAGUUAGAUGUAAGGAAAGAGGGACCAAGGAUC